UACGUAGGGGGCGAGCGUUGUCCGGAAUUACUGGGUGUAAAGGGCGUGUAGGCGGGGUAUUAAGUCGGAUGUGAAAUACCGGAGCUCAACUCCGGGGCUGCAUCCGAAACUAAUACUCUUGAGUGCAGGAGAGGAGAGCGGAAUUCCCAGUGUAGCGGUGAAAUGCGUAGAUAUUGGGAGGAACACCAGUGGCGAAGGCGGCUCUCUGGACUGUAACUGACGCUGAGGCGCGAAAGCGUGGGGAGCAAACAGG
rnacentral:rRNA from 1 species